rnacentral:rRNA from 1 species
UACAGAGGGGGCAAGCGUUGUUCGGAAUUACUGGGCGUAAAGGGCGCGUAGGCGGCCUUCUAAGUCGAACGUGAAAUCCCCGGGCUCAACCCGGGAACUGCGUCCGAGACUGAAAGGCUUGAAUCCGGGAGAGGGAUGUGGAAUUCCAGGUGUAGCGGUGAAAUGCGUAGAUAUCUGGAGGAAUACCGGUGGCGAAGGCGGCAUCCUGGACCGGCAUUGACGCUGAGGAGCGAAAGCCAGGGGAGCAAACGGG